rnacentral:rRNA from 1 species
UACAGAGGGUGCGAGCGUUAAUCGGAAUUACUGGGCGUAAAGCGUGCGCAGGCGGUCUGUUAAGACCGAUGUGAAAUCCCCGGGCUUAACCUGGGAACUGCAUUGGUGACUGGCAGGCUUUGAGUGUGGCAGAGGGGGGUAGAAUUCCACGUGUAGCAGUGAAAUGCGUAGAGAUGUGGAGGAAUACCGAUGGCGAAGGCAGCCCCCUGGGCCAACACUGACGCUCAUGCACGAAAGCGUGGGGAGCAAACAGG